rnacentral:rRNA from 1 species
UAUGUGAUCGUCUCUCGCAUAUCAAUAAGCGGAGGAAAAGAAACUAACAAGGAUUCCCCUAGUAACGGCGAGUGAAGCGGGAAGAGCUCAAAUUUGAAAUCUUAAAGGGUUUCCCUUUACGAAUUGUAGUUUAAAGAAGUGUUUUCUGUUGAGGUUUUGGUAAAAGUUCUUUGGAAUAGGACAUCAUAGAGGGUGAGAAUCCCGUAUUUGACCUUUACUUUCAACUUUGUGAUACACUUUCAAAGAGUCGGAUUGUUUGGGAAUGCAGUCCAAAAUGGGUGGUAAAUUUCAUCUAAAGCUAAAUAUUGGCGAGAGACCGAUAGCGAACAAGUACCGUGAGGGAAAGAUGAAAAGAACUUUGAAAAGAGAGUUAAACAGUACGUGAAAUUGUCAAAAGGGAAGCGUUUGACACCAGUGUUGUUUUUCUGAAAAUCAAUUAAAGAACUGUUUAUGCUAAGUUGUUUAGACUUUAUCAGCUAAUCUGCUUAGUUUUGAGCUCUUCUUUAAUGCACUUUUCAGUUAACAAGUCAACAUCAAUUUCUUUUGCUGUAAAAAAGCUUGAGGAAGGUGGCUUGAGAUUCGUCUUAAGUGUUUAUAGCCUCUUGCCUAUGCAGUCGGAGAGAUUGAGGUCUGCAGCGUAGAUCCUUCGGGGCUAAAUGCAUUUGUGCUAAGUUAUAGCAUUUUAUAGACAACUUGUUGACUAUGAUUUGUCUUGUAGCUUACUCGCUUAUGUUAUUUUACCUACGCUUAGGAUGUUGACACACGCGCGUGCUCG